rnacentral:snoRNA from 1 species
AUGCAUCUGUGCCAGCCCUGGAGCAGUUAGUGUCUGCUGCUAGGGUUUCCACCACUGAUGCAAGAAAAAGACGGUUUUUGUACUUUCUGUCUCUCUGGUUUUGUCAGCCAGGAUUGAAUGGGGGGAAUACAGGA